rnacentral:lncRNA from 12 species
AUUGAGUGUAUCAGGUCAAACCAUCCCAGUGCAGGGAAGCUGAUCCAGGGAAUGGGAACUGGGCCAACUUGGAGAAAAAAAAAAAAACCACAGAAAUAAGAGGAACAUUUCCAGGUGUAAAAAUCAAGGGAAGGGCAGGAGAAGGGAAACAAUCAGCAGGGACGUGAGGAGUGCUGGGAGGGCACUGUAGGCACCUAAAUCAGGAAAAAUUCAUCUGCUGCUCCCUGGGCAGGGAAAAUUCCCAAGGGAAGGCACAGAGGGAAGUGUUUGGUGCCUUCCCUCUGCCUUUGCAGAGCUGGAAUGCUUGGGAAAGAGGCAGAGCUGAGGGAAUGGAGCUGGAACGGGAAAAAACAGGGGAUUUGUGAUUCUCACACGGCUCUGAGCCCACCACAAUUCAGCCCUGAGUAUUCCAGGCAGGUCUGAGCUGCUCCUCCCCGUCUCCAAGAGCACCUGGAGAAAGAGCAGGGAGGCUUCUGGAUUCUAUUUUCAUUUCUGGAGGCAGGAGAGGACCAAGAAGCCUUGGGAGGAGGGAUAUCCAUGGGAUAAGAGGGGAAUUCAGCCUGGAAGGGAUCUCAGGGGGUCCCUAAUCCUGCCUCAGGCUCAAAGCACCGUGAGCCACAAGAUCAGGACACUUUGGGCAGGGCUUUAUGCAGUUUGGGGUUGGAAAUCUGCAAGGAUGGAGCCUCCCAAGCUGCUCCAGUGGCAGGAUCAGGGGCACAGGGAUCAGCUGUGAUGAUGCUGCUGAGAGGUCUCUGCUAUCUGGUACCUUUGUGGGCUCUCCCUCCAUCUCUAAUCCGCAGGGAGAAUAUUGGAUUGGUUUGCAAGAAGGAAAACCCUUUUCCAGGGGUGUUUUGCAGGGUGCAGCCUCCUUCCCUCAGAGAGGGGAGGUCUGGACCUGUUCCAAUCUGAAUUCACCAGCAGCAGACACUUGUCUGACAUUAAAACUCCAACCCCAAGUGCUGCAUCCAUCACAUUUCUCUUGGGAAGAGAUUAAAACACAACAGGAAAAACUGCAGGUUCC